CCUACGGGUGGCAGCAGUGAGGAAUAUUGGUCAAUGGGCGCAAGCCUGACCCAGCCAAGUAGCGUGAAGGAUGACUGCCCUCCGGUUUGUAAACUUCUUUUAUAAAGGAAUAAAGUGAGCCACGUGUGCCUUUUUGUAUUUACUUUAUGAAUAAGAAUCGGCUAACUCCGUGCCAUCAGCCGCGGUAAUACGGUGGAUCCGAGCGUUAUCCGGAUUUAUUGGGUUUAAAGGGAGCGUAGAUGGGUUGUUAAGUCAGUUGUGAAAGUUUGCGGCUCAACCGUAAAAUUGCAAUUGAUACUGGCAGUCUUGAGUACAGUUGAGGUAGGCGGAAUUCGUGGUGUAGCGGUGAAAUGCUUAGAUAUCACGAAGAACUCCGAUUGCGAAGGCAGCUUACUAAACUGCCACUGACAUUGAUGCUCGAAAGUGUGGGUAUCAAACAGGAUUAGAUACCCUGGUAGUC
rnacentral:rRNA from 1 species